rnacentral:rRNA from 1 species
UACGUAGGGGGCGAGCGUUGUCCGGAUUUAUUGGGCGUAAAGAGCUCGUAGGCGGUUUGGCAAGUCGGAUGUGAAAUCUCCAGGCUCAACCUGGAGGGGUCAUUCGAAACUGCUAUGACUAGAGUUCGGUAGAGGAGUGUGGAAUUCCUGGUGUAGCGGUGAAAUGCGCAGAUAUCAGGAGGAACACCGGUGGCGAAGGCGGGUCUCUGGGCCGAUACUGACGCUGAGGAGCGAAAGCGUGGGGAGCGAACAGG